AUUUCUACAGAAAAAAUAUUAAAUGUUAAAUAUUUUCAAUUGUCUUGUAGUUUUUUUUACUCACAAGAAUGUUGUGUCUUUUUUAAAUAUCAUGGCAGUUAGAAACGUUUGAUGCGAAGCUGAGAAGUCGAGAAAAAUAACUUUGAAAUUUAAACUAGCUUAAAUAGCCAAUUUUUUCAAUCGAUUGUAGCGACAUACGGUUGCCGAGAUGGUAAAACUUAUAUCUUACACGCUUGGGGUACGAGUUCCUGACCCACAUUCAAUAACUUCAAUAAAGAUCAAGGAUCCCAUCAUUUUAGUCGCCCCUUUUAAGCAAAGCGACAUACGAUUGCUGAAUUGGUAACACUUGUGUCUCACGUGCUUGGGGUACAAGGUUCCAACUCGCGUAUAAUUCAAUAACUUCAAUAAAGAUCACUGUAGUCGCCCCUUGUGAGAAAAACUUUCUUAUUCAUAUUAAAAUUAUUUAACUAUAUUUUAGAUUUUAGCUUCGAUGCAUAGCUGAGAAGGUAUUUUUUUGUGACUAUCAUUUAUUUUCUCUGCACUCACUUGACUUACUUUUUUCAGCGAUACGUAAAAUUAUUAAAAUUCGUAAUUAUUGACGAAACACACUUGAUGAUACUACAAAAUUAUAUCCUUUUAUUUUGUAAUUUAAUAAUUAUUCUACUCUAUUUGUGUGUGCUACUAUUUGACUAUAAUAUUCUACAUUUUUUGGUAACAUGUUGCUA